CAGCUCUUCAAGUGGUCGGGAUUUUUAUUGGGCUUAAAGUGUCCGUAGCCGGUAUAUUAAGUUCCUGGUUAAAUCUGAUAGCUUAACUAUCUGUUGGCUAGGAAUACUACUAUACUAGGGGGCGGGAGAGGUUUGAGGUACUCCAGGGGUAGCGGUGAAAUGCGAUAAUCCUUGGGGGACCACCAGUGGCGAAGGCGUCAGACUGGAACGCGCCCGACGGUGAGGGACGAAAGCCAGGGGAGCGAACCGGAUUAGAUACCCGAGUAGUCC
rnacentral:rRNA from 1 species